rnacentral:ncRNA from 1 species
UCAAAGGCAAUGACAAAGACAUGAUGACAAGAAGGCGGUUCCAAGAGAGGGAUAUGUUUGGUGAGAGUAUCCUGAAUCAGCGUUUGUUAUUACCACUUUGGAGCUGCUGUCCGGAAAUUUUAGUAUGGACAGACGGUUACGCUAUCGUUACAGGCGCUGAGUGGUCAUAGGCGUACCUAUGGCAAUCAGGGUGGAACCACGAUGUUGCAGCUUCGUCCCUAUC